rnacentral:rRNA from 1 species
GAUGAACGCUAGCUACAGGCUUAACACAUGCAAGUCGAGGGGAAACGGCAUCGAAAGCUUGCUUUUGAUGGGCGUCGACCGGCGCACGGGUGAGUAACGCGUAUCCAACCUGCCCAUCACUUGGGAAUAACCUUGCGAAAGUAAGACUAAUGCCCAAUGACAUCCCACGAAGGCAUCCGAAUGGGAUUAAAGAUUUAUCGGUGAUGGAUGGUGAUGCGUCUGAUUAGCUUGUUGGCGGGGUGACGGCCCACCAAGGCAACGAUCAGUAGGGGUUCUGAGAGGAAGGUCCCCCACAGUGGAACUGAGACACGGUCCAAACUCCUACGGGAGGCAGCAGUGAGGAAUAUUGGUCAAUGGGCGAGAGCCUGAACCAGCCAAGUAGCGUGCAGGAUGACGGCCCUAUGGGUUGUAAACUGCUUUUAGAAGGGAAUAAAGUGGGUCACGUGUGACUUUUUGCAUGUACCUUAUGAAUAAGGACCGGCUAAUUCCGUG